CGCAGCCGCGGUAAUUCCAGCUCCAAUAGCGUAUAUUAAAGUUGUUGCAGUUAAAAAGCUCGUAGUUGAAUUUCGGGAUCAAUUCAUCGGUCGUGCCAAUGGUAUGAACUGGUACAAUUGGUUUCUCCCUUCUGACGAAGCAUGAUGUCAUUAACUUGGUGUCGCCGGGGAAUCAGAACUGUUACUUUGAAAAAUUAGAGUGUUUAAAGCGGGCUUAGGCUUGAAUACAUUAGCAUGGAAUAAUGAAAUAGGACGUUUGAUCCUAUUUUGUUGGUUUCUAGGAUCGACGUAAUGAUUAAUAGGGAUAGUUGGGGGCAUUAGUAUUCAAUUGUCAGAGUGAAAUUCUUGGAUUUAUUGAAGACUAACUACUGCGAAAGCAUUUGCCAA
rnacentral:rRNA from 1 species